rnacentral:rRNA from 1 species
AUUCCAGCUCCAAUAGCGUAUAUUAAAGUUGUUGCAGUUAAAACGCUCGUAGUCGGAUUUCGGGGCCUGCCUGCCGGUCUGCCGAUGGGUAUGCACUGGCAGGCGCGUCCUUCCUUCCGGAGACUGUCCCUACUCUUAACUGAGCGGGGUCGGGAGACGGAUCGUUUACUUUGAAAAAAUCAGAGUGUUUCAAGCAGGCAGCUCGCUCUUGCAUGGAUUAGCAUGGGAUAAUGAAAUAGGACUUUGGUGCUAUUUUGUUGGUUUCGAACACCGAAGUAAUGAUUAAUAGGGAUAGUUGGGGGCGUUUAUAUUCCAUUGUCAGAGGUGAAAUUCUUGGAUUUAUGGAAGAUAAACUACUGCGAAAGCAUUCGCCAAGGAUGGUUUCAUCG